rnacentral:rRNA from 1 species
UACGAAGGGGGCUAGCGUUGCUCGGAAUUACUGGGCGUAAAGCGCACGUAGGCGGCUUUCUAAGUCGGGGGUGAAAUCCUGGAGCUCAACUCCAGAACUGCCUUCGAUACUGGAAGACUUGAGUCCGGGAGAGGUGAGUGGAACUGCGGAGUGUAGAGGUGAAAUUCGUAGAUAUUCGCAAGAACACCAGUGGCGAAGGCGGCUCACUGGCCCGGUACUGACGCUGAGGUGCGAAAGCGUGGGGAGCAAACAGG